GAUGAAGAACGUAGCGAAAUGCGAUACGUAGUGUGAAUUGCAGAAUUCAGUGAAUCAUCGAAUCUUUGAACGCACAUUGCACCUCUCGGUAUUCCGGGAGGUAUGCCUGUUCGAGCGUCAUUUGUACCCUCAAGCUCUGCUUGGUGUUGGUUGUUUGUUCCGCCUCUGUGUGUGAACUCGCCUCAAAACAAUUGGCAGCCGGCGUACUUGUUUCGGAGCGCAGCACAUUUUGCGAUCCAGAUCAACGUACAGCGGCAUCCAAGAAGCCUUAUUUAACGCUCUUGACCUCGGAUCAGGUAGGGAUACCCGCUGAACUUAAGCAUAUCAAUAAGCGGAGGA
rnacentral:misc_RNA from 1 species